AGCUCAUCGGGACAGAGCGCCAGCCUUCGAAGCUGGCUGCGCGGGGUUCAAGUCCCCGA
rnacentral:tRNA from 1 species